rnacentral:lncRNA from 1 species
AGACUUUGACAACAAACAUUAAUUUUCCUCACCUUCAGAUCUACAGAUGGUUUGGAACAGUUUGGCUUUGGGCUGAAAGCUGGGUUCUUCUGAGAGGUCCUGAAAGGCCUCUGCUCUGAAUCAGCAAACUGCUUCUUCUAUCAACAUUUCACAGGACAAAGCAAGUCACGUGGCUGUACCUGACAUCAACUGGGCAGGGAAGUAGACUUCUGCUAAAAAAAGAUGGCCAGGAUGAGGAUGGAGGAGAGAAUUCUGAGUCAAUAAUACAUUUUAGCACAAUAGCCAACAGUUCCAGAAUGCUAUCUCUAUUUUGCUCACUUAUUUAUCUAGUUAUAAUAGUGACUGGUCAAAAUAAGAAAUGAAUUGGAUCUUUCUUUUGUGAACAUGUUUAAUUCCCCGAUUAAAAAAAAAUGCUUUUCUUAAGGAUUACAUCACAUUAUAUAAGCAAUUGUUUAUUUAAUUGAAAAAUUUACACAAAGAACCACUAAAUAUUUGUGCAGGUUACCUAGGGAAAUGUGUCACUUGGAUAUUUUUAUACACUGCAUUAUUGUGGCAGUAGUGUGUGAUGCAUUUCUUGGGUAAACAUUCAACCAUGGAUGGAAUCAGAAAAAUUUAGUGACUCUUACUUAGGAAAAAGGACCUCCUUUCUAAUCUUCUUUAUGAUGUUCUUUCUUUGACUAUACCAUUUCUUUCCCUGUGGGGCUAGUAUUUAAUUAAUAGAAGCUCUAAAUUGCUGAAAUAAUUUAAUUCUUAUGCUUUGAUUCUUGUUCUGAGUGCAGUUGUAGAAAGCUUUAUAAGUGUAAUGAACAAUGUGUAAGUUAGUAAUGAAGCUGAAUGGUAAGGGAAAUCAGUACAAAGUCAAUUUUGCUUUCUUUGUAUCAUUGGCAAACCAUGGCCCAUGGAGCAAGUGUGGCCCCCAUUUAGUUUUGCAAAUAAAGUUUUAUUGAAACACAGCCAUGCACACUCAACAAUGUGCUCAUACUGCAGUAGCAGGGUUGAGUACUUGUAACAAAUAUUAUUAAAUUCAGAAAGGGUAAGGUGUUUACUCUUUGGUUCUUUAUGGGAAACUUUGUCAUCCCUUGUUCUAUAUAGUUAUUAUAAUGCUAAAAAGCAGUUUCAAAAAUAUAAAUGUUAUAAAAUGUAAAUACUUUGAUUUCUUAAAACACAAAAUGGUUAUUUUUCACACUCACAUCCACUGGAGGUCUGAUAUUUUGUGAGGAAUAUCUUGUAACCCUAGUUUAGGGUAUGUGAAUACAAGUCAGUAUAGGUUAGGUUUUGUUCAAUAACAAACAUCCCCCAACUCUCAGGGCCUUAACACAAUAAGUUUAUUUCUCAUUCCUGCUAAAGGCCUAUUAUGGAUCAGCAGAGUUAUGCCAGGAUCCAGGCUGUGGGAGCAGCUACUAUCAGGAGAAUGUCUGGCCACUCAGCAGAGGCAAAAGGAGUACUGAUAUUAAAGUUUCUAUCCAGAAGUGACACACAUCACUUGUCCAUGACCAAAGUGAGUUAUAUAGUUAUAACUAAUCUCAAGGGAAUGGGAAGUAAAAUUCUGUCAUAAACUUAGGAAGCAGGGAGGGGAGGAGAGAGAGAGAGAGAGAGAGAGAGAGGAAAACAUUUGGUAGAUAACAAUAGCGAUUACCAAAGUAUGAAACAAACAAAGCCAUUUCGGAAAGUGGCUUCAUAAUAGUAGGAAAGUAGCUGCCAUCUUAUAGGUAGCAAAGGUGUAAUGUCCCUGUGGUAGAAGUCUGCUGUGAUACAAAGGGCUAAUAAGUCCAUUUUAACUUGUAACUCCUUUUAUCUGCUCCUCUGUUACAUGGUUUUAUGUAUGUUUGGUUGGUGUGAAUUCUUCCUAGAGAAUGUCAGAUUAUUAAUUUCUUCUACUUACAGUUUUACUGCAACUUUACAUCUUUUUGCUUUUAUGAGUAAUGUGCUGGUUGCGACCUUAAGAUCCAGUGCUAAACUCCUACUUAAUUUGAAAUUCUACUACUUUAAAAAAAAACAAACAAACUGAGCAUUAUGCCAGACCAAAAACAUUUUAAAGACUCUGAAAAAACAAACUAAGAAAAUUCAUCACCUAGUAGUCAGUUUUCAAACUGGUCCACCAAUGAAACUAUUUACUUAUUUUUAUUGAAUCCCAAAUUAUUGUUCAUGAAUAGAGAUAGAGCAUCCAAACUGCUAGAAACGACACUGGUGAAUUUGGUUUUUCUAGAAACAACACUGGUGAAUUUGGUUUUUCCAUUACCUGGAAUUGCUACUUUAAAAAGGGUCUUUUGUUUUGUUUUUCUUCCUUCAUCCUCUAGUUUCAGAAAAAGAACAGUUCCACAGGAAAUGACGGACACAUUCAGGAGACUUUCAGAGGGCAAUGGACUGUGGGUCAGUCUAAGGAGGAGACCUGAAGUUGCGGAGGCUGCCUUGACUGGUGUAGAUUGAGAGCCAACCAGAGUCCAUGGAAAGAGGCUAUGAGAAAUGAAAUGCCCGUGUGUGUGUGUGUGUGUGUGUGUGUGUUAUUUAUUUAUUUGUAUGCUCUGUUAUACUUUAUUGGGUUUUAUUUAAACUGGUUGAAAGUUUGACAUGACAUUUAUGUUCAGAUUCUCCUUUGUUUGAUGAUGGAAUUGACAACUGAGGCUGAAAGUGCUCAAUCAUACCAGAUCUAGACAGCCCUUUAGAGAAAACCAGGAUUCUAACUUGGGAUAGUCAGGAGUCUCAUGGGACAGGAGCUCCAGGGGACAGCGAUUGUCGAUGGCUUUGUUCGCUGUGAAUGAAAAGUGCCUGGCACUCAGCAGGAACUCAAUAAGUAUUUUUUGAAUAAGCUAAGUCCAAAGGCAAGAGUGAAGUUGGGUUUGUGAAGAAGGAGCUCACUGAUAGAUCGGGAUGAGAUUUUGAGAGAGGAUAGAUGAAGGACAAAGAAGUUAAGAGUGGGGCAUCUACAUCUGGCUUGUCCGUUUUGGGCUAAAAGAACAUCAGUUUGGCUUUAAAGGUCAGAGUCAAGACAGAUAAAACAUUUAAAAAUUGAAGUGAAACAAAAUGGAUUUUGAGAAUUUAUAUAUUAAGAGAAGAAACUUUACUGAUGUAAAGUGAAGAAGGAUUUUUUAAUGUUUAUACCACCUGCAGUUUUAGGAUACUUUCAUGUACAGUCAUGUGUUGCAAAUGAUAUGCUAUCAAAGAUGGAGAGCAAGUACAGUGGUGGACUUAUAAGAUUUUUAUCUCAUAGUAGCAUUAUGGCUGUCUUAGUUUGUGUAAAUACCCUUUGGUGAGUUUGCACAAUGAUGAUAUCAUCUAAUGAUGCACUUCUCAAAACACAUCACCUUCAUUAAGCAAUGCAUGACUGUAUACACAUCUAGACCUUAAAAUAGGUAUUAUCCAGUGUUGGUGAUCAGCAAUGAUGAGGAAGGUUACAUGACUCGGGACUCACAGAAAGUAGUGGAACUGUGACUUGAACUCUAAGCUUUUGCUUCAAGUUCUGCAUUAUUUCCACAAUGCUAAUUUCCAUGCUGUAUUCCUGGACAUAUUUGCUAUAAUUUGGAUCUUAAAUGGUCCCCAAAGGCUCAUGUGUUAAGGCUCAGUCCCCAGGGUGGUGCUAUUGGGAGAUGGUGGGAUCUUUAAUAGGUGGGACCUGGUGGGAGGUCAUUAGAGGUCAUUCAGAGUGUGCCAUUGAAGGGGGUUGUGGAAUCCUAGCUCCCUCCUAGCUCUGUGUUGCUUCCUGGCCAUGAGAUGAGAGGUUUUACACUGCCAGGACUCCCACUAUGAUGGGGACCCUCAUUAUAGGUACAAAGAAAUGGGACCAGUCAGUCAUGGACUAGACUCUCCAAUGUCGUUCAUAGUAAUGAAAAGGUAACUGACAGAGGGACCCUAUUCCAUUUCCUAAAGGUCACAGAGUCCUUCCUGGGAAAGUCCUUCAGUACAAGGUUCUGAGUGCCUGGAGGAGACAAAGUGAGUCCCUUAUUGGUAAGCUCUGUUUUCCUCUUGGUGCUCUGUCAGGAAAGUGAUGUGGCAAUCCCAGGACUGCCAUCUUGUGAUCUGAGAAAUGACAGAUGGCUUUUCCUUCUUUUUUCUCCUGAAAGGAGCCACUUACUGCAAAAGCAGAGAUGGGUUAGUAAUAGCUGAGAAAUACGGCUUCAUGAUGAAUACUUGAGUGAGUGAACUGAUAUGUUUAGUUCUUUCCUUUUUCUCGCCCUUGAGAAGUGAAAAACAAAUGAUGGAAGAUAAGAUCUUGAGUGUCCAGGUGAUGCUGAGAAUUGAUCUAAAACUGAUCCUGACCAGCAUGACCUCUGUGGGCCAUCUUAAUGAGGCAUAAUUGGGACAGUCACUGCAGGGAUGUUCUUUCCUGGUAGAGCAUACAUUUUUAAUUUUCAGGGGUGAUUGACCUGAUUUCUCCCAUUCUCGUGGAGCAGUGAGGUGCA